rnacentral:tRNA from 1 species
AGAGGCUUAGGAUUAAGUAAACCAGGGGCCUUCAAAGUCCCUAUUGGGGGUUAGACCCCCUCAGCUUCUG